UACGUAGGGGGCAAGCGUUGUCCGGAAUCAUUGGGCGUAAAGCGCGUGUAGGCGGCCAGGUAGGUCCGUUGUGAAAACUCGAGGCUCAACCUCGAGAUGUCGACGGAAACCAUCUGGCUAGAGUCCGGAAGAGGAGAGUGGAAUUCCCGGUGUAGCGGUGAAAUGCGCAGAUAUCGGGAAGAACACCCGUGGCGAAGGCGGCUCUCUGGGACGGUACUGACGCUGAGACGCGAAAGCGUGGGGAGCAAACAGGG
rnacentral:rRNA from 1 species